rnacentral:pre_miRNA from 1 species
GUAGUACUCCCUCCGUCCGGAAUUACUUGUCAUCAAAAUGGAUGAAAAUGGAUGUAUCUAGAACUAAAAUACAUCUAGAUACAUCCAUUUCAAUGACAAGUAUUUCCGGACGGAGGGAGUAGUAA